rnacentral:rRNA from 1 species
GGCCCCGCACAAGCGGCGGAGCAUGCGGAUUAAUUCGAUGCAACGCGAAGAACCUUACCUGGGUUUGACAUAUACCGGAAACGUCUAGAGAUAGGCGCCCCCUUGUGGUCGGUAUACAGGUGGUGCAUGGCUGUCGUCAGCUCGUGUCGUGAGAUGUUGGGUUAAGUCCCGCAACGAGCGCAACCCUCGUCUUAUGUUGCCAGCGGGUAAUGCCGGGGACUCAUAAGAGACCGCCGGGGUCAACUCGGAGGAAGGUGGGGAUGACGUCAAGUCUUCAUGCCCCUUAUGUCCAGGGCUUCACGCAUGCUACAAUGGCCGGUACAGAGGGCUGCAAUCCCGCAAGGGGGAGCGAAUCCCAAAAAGCCGGUCUCAGUUCGGAUUGGGGUCUGCAACUCGACCCCAUGAAGUCGGAGUCGCUAGUAAUCGCAGAUCAGCAACGCUGCGGUGAAUACGUUCCCGGGGCUU